ACUCCGCUUGAUCCUGGCGGACCCAACUGCUAGCGGGAUGAGACUAAGCCAUGCGAGUCAAACGCAUCCUAGCCACGGUGGAAGCGUGGCGUACGGCUCAGUAACAUGUGGCUAACCUACCCUCAGAACCGGGACAACUUCGGGAAACUGAGGCUAAUACCGGAUAGAUGGAGAGGCCUGGAAUGGUUCUCCGUUCAAAAGGCCCUGGCAGCAUGCUUGCCAGGGUUGUCUGAGGAUGGGGCCGCACCUGAUCAGGUUGUUGGUGAGGUAACGGCUCACCAAGCCUAUAACCAGUACGGGCCGUGAGAGCGGGAGCCCGGAGAUGGGCACUGAGACAAGGGCCCAGGCCCUACGGGGCGCAGCAGGCGCGAA
rnacentral:ncRNA from 1 species